CAAUAGCGUAUAUUAAAGUUGUUGCGGUUAAAAAGUUCGUAGUUGGAUUUCUGCCAAGGACGACCGGUCCGCCCUCUGGGUGAGUAUCUGGCUUGGCCUGGGCAUCUUCUUGGAGAACGUUGCUGCACUUCGCUGUGUGGCGCGGUAUCCAGGACCUUUACUUUGAGGAAAUUAGAGUGUUUCAAGCAGGCUUUCGCCUUGAAUACAUUAGCAUGGAAUAAUAAGAUAGGACCUCGGUUCUAUUUUGUUGGUUUCUAGAGCUGGGGUAAUGAUUAAUAGGGAUAGUUGGGGGCAUUCGUAUUUAACUGUCAGAGGUGAAAUUCUUGGAUUUGUUAAAGACGGACUACUGCGAAANCANNNGCCAAGGAUGUUUUCAUNGA
rnacentral:rRNA from 1 species